rnacentral:rRNA from 1 species
CCUACGGGUGGCAGCAGUGAGGAAUAUUGGUCAAUGGACGAAAGUCUGAACCAGCCAAGUAGCGUGAAGGAUGACUGCCCUAUGAGUUGUAAACUUCUUUUAUAUGGGAAUAAAGUGAGGUACGUGUACCUUUUUGUAUGUACUUUAUGAAUAAGGAUCGGCUAACUCCGUGCCAGCAGCCGCGGUAAUACGGAGGAUCCAAGCGUUAUCCGGAUGUAUUGGGUUUAAAGGGAGCGUAGGCGGGCGGUUAAGUUAGUUGUGAAAUUUUGCGGCUCAACCGUAAAAUUGCAUUUGAUACUGGGCGUCUUGAGUAUAGUUGAGGUAGGCGGAAUUCGUGGUGUAGCGGUGAAAUGCUUAGAUAUCACGCAGAACACCGAUUGCGAAGGCAGCUUACUAAACUGCCACUGACGUUGAUGCUCGAAAGUGUGGGUAUCAAACAGGAUUAGAUACCCCUGUAGUC